GACGAACGCUGGCGGCGUGCUUAACACAUGCAAGUCGAGCGGAAAGGCCCUUUCGGGGGUACUCGAGCGGCGAACGGGUGAGUAACACGUGAGUAAUCUGCCCUUGGCUUUGGGAUAACCACCGGAAACGGUGGCUAAUACCGGAUAUGACGGGCUCCGGCAUCGGGGUUCGUGGAAAGUUUUUCGGCCAGGGAUGUGCUCGCGGCCUAUCAGCUUGUUGGUGGGGUAAUGGCCUACCAAGGCUUCGACGGGUAGCCGGCCUGAGAGGGUGACCGGCCACACUGGGACUGAGACACGGCCCAGACUCCUACGGGAGGCAGCAGUGGGGAAUAUUGGACAAUGGGCGGAAGCCUGAUCCAGCAACGCCGCGUGAGGGAUGACGGCCU
rnacentral:rRNA from 1 species